AGAGUUGUAUCCUGGCUCAGGAUGAACGCUAGCGGCAGGCCUAACACAUGCAAGUCGAGGGGUAACAGGAAAGCUUGCUUUUGCUGACGACCGGCGCACGGGUGCGUAACGCGUAUGCAACCUACCUCAUACUGGAGCAUAGCCCUUGGAAACGGGGAUUAAUACUCCAUGGUAUCAUGAAUUCGCAUGUUUUCAUGAUUAAAGAAUUUCGGUAUGAGAUGGGCAUGCGUCCCAUUAGCUAGUUGGUGAGGUAACGGCUCACCAAGGCGACGAUGGGUAGGGGGCCUGAGAGGGUGGUCCCCCACACUGGUACUGAGACACGGACCAGACUCCUACGGGAGGCAGCAGUGAGGAAUAUUGGUCAAUGGAGGCAACUCUGAACCAGCCAUGCCGCGUGAAGGAUGACGGCCCUAUGGGUUGUAAACUUCUUUUAUAUGGGAAGAAACUUAUCUACGUGUAGAUAACUGACGGUACCAUACGAAUAAGGAUCGGCUAACUCCGUGCCAGCAGCCGCGGUAAUACGGAGGAUCCAAGCGUUAUCCGGAUUCAUUGGGUUUAAAGGGUCCGUAGGCGGAUUUUUAAGUCAGUGGUGAAAGCCGACAGCUCAACUGUCGAACUGCCAUUGAUACUGGAGAUCUUGAGUACAAAUGAAGUAGGCGGAAUGAGUCAUGUAGCGGUGAAAUGCAUAGAUAUGACUCAGAACACCAAUUGCGAAGGCAGCUUACUAACAUGUAACUGACGCUGAGGGA
rnacentral:rRNA from 1 species